CUCCUCUUAGUUUAGUUGGUUAUAACGCUCGACUGUAAUGUGAAUUGUCUUCGAGAGGCCGGUCGGUUCGAACCCACCAGAGGAGA